rnacentral:rRNA from 1 species
ACUCCUACGGGAGGCAGCAGUAGGGAAUAUUGGGCAAUGGGCGAAAGCCUGACCCAGCCAUGCCGCGUGAAGGAAGACGGCCUUAUGGGUUGUAAACUUCUUUACUACGCGAAUAGAGGUUAGUACGAGAUACUAAUAGGAAGGUAGUGUAGUAAAAAGCACCGGCUAACUCCGUGCCAGCAGCCGCGGUAAU